GUAGCGGGUAGAGAAAGGGAGAAAGGAGGCUGGGUGCUCGUUCGACAUAGCGAUGAAAGAGUUUGUUCCCGGUGACUGAGGAGACCUCGCCUGACUCUCAGGCUCUCCCUCUGCCCUGCAGUGUCGGGCUGACGCUGGUUCGUCGUCACCCCCGUGGACAAUAUCAUCAUUAUUAUUUAUAACCGACCAGAAUAUUCUCUGUUACACACACACACACGGGCAAGACAUACCCGGAAAUAACAUGCGUACUCUCCGCCUGUCACGUACGCUCACUGAGGAUUUGCUUUACUGUGGGAUGUAGAUAUUUUACGCAUCGUCAAAAUGUCCAUUAAAGUGGUACAAGUGAACACGCAGCCUGAGAGUGUUGAAUGACGGCAGACGGGUGAAGCCAGACGCGGAAUUUAGGACAUGAAACUUCUCUGCUGUGUGUGCAAGUGGCAGCGCUCUUCUUUUUCUGAGAAAGCCAGAAAAUGAAGCGAGGACGUGAGCUACGUGCGCAUCCAGCAGACGACGAGAUGAAAUGGAGAGCUUGGGACGCACUGACACUUUAAACCCAAGCUCUUCCCAGGAAUCCGUCGCUGCUUCAGCUUCACACGAAGGAAGGACGAGCGGUCAGCAGCUCACCUAUCUGGCGGCAGAGAUUCAGCACACGUACCGAGCGGAUAUGGGGCUUAACGGUUUGUGCGCGGCGCCGGUUGGGAGUCCAACGGCCGCAGAGUUACUCGCGGGUCUGGCCUCUCAGACCGACUCGCCUGGCAUCACAACCCGGACGAAGAAGUCCAAAACCGGCGUGCCGCUCUUCAACGGAGGGGUGGUGUCUCCAUCAGCCACGGUGGAGGGGUGUCACGCAGGUGCGCUGGCUCACACACCGAACGGUGACCCGGCACAGAUAAAGCGUGAUGUGUGUGUAACCGGUGACGCCACGUACCCCGUCAUCAGCAGAGCCUGCGUGGGGGACAGGAAAUGUCUUGAGAAGUGCCCUUCAGCGAGGAGGGUCAAUGGCGACUUGAAGGGCAGGCAAGUGCAACAGCAGAAACGGAGAGGUGGAGAUAACUGGGUGACCGAGACAGGACUUACCACAGGGUCACCAACAUUAGGAGGUUCUGUGAACCCGGCUUUUGUUUCCAGAGACUCUGACUCAAAGAGGAGAAAGUUGACAGAGGUUAGUGUACCUCAAAAAUCCUCAGAAGCCCCCAAAGUGGCAGGAGUGGUUUCCCCAUUCCCAGCUACUGUCACCUGCAGCAGUUCCAGCUGCAACCAAAAGACUACCAAUCAUGUGCCCUGUGUCAUUCCCCAGUUUCCCUUUACCCCACGGGCCCCUCACACUAACCAGCACAAUGGACCUAAGAUGGUCUUCUCAGACACGUCAGCUGCAUCCAGCCAGGCUCCUCCUGUGGAGGUGAACAUCAUCCCUAGUGCACCAUGUCCUGUAGGGAUUGGCUGGUCAGCAGAGCGUUUAGCCCAGCAAUACAUCAUCCCAUGCAUGAAACACUAUGGCAUCUGUGUGAAGGACAACUUCAUGGGCCCUCAGCUGGGUGACAGGGUCCGGGGAGAGGUGGAGGUUCUAAGCCACAGUGGGAAAUUUCGGUGCGGGCAGCUGGUGAGCCAGAAGAACAUUCCCUCUAAGAGCAUCCGUGGUGACCAGAUCGCCUGGGUGGAGGGACACGAGCCUGGCUGUGAGAGCAUCGGGGAGCUGAUGUCACACAUCGAUGAGGCUGUCAUGCACAGUGCUGCCAAUGGACAGCUGGGCGACAAGGUCAUCAAUGGACGCACCAAGGCCAUGGUUGCUUGUUACCCAGGUAACGGGGCAGGGUAUGUCCGCCAUGUUGACAAUCCCAAUGGUGAUGGACGCUGCAUCACAUGCAUCUACUAUCUCAACAAGAACUGGGAUGUAGAGAAACAAGGAGGGUUGUUGCAGAUUUACCCUGAGGGCAAAAAUUUGGUAGCCAACAUCGAACCUCUGUUUGACCGACUGCUCAUCUUCUGGUCUGACCGCAGGAAUCCGCACGAAGUCAAGCCAGCCUACGCCACUCGCUUUGCCAUCACAGUCUGGUACUUUGAUGCUAAAGAGAGAACAGAGGCUAAAGAGAAAUACCAAUUGGCAACAGGACCGAAAGGUGUUCAAGUGCCUGUCAGUCAAAACAGCAAGACAUAGACGUACAAUCAGUGGAGCGCACUCUAAAAUGUUAUGUGCCUUCUUUAAACCGCGAAUGGACGUCACGGUCAUAAAGGGAGACGCUGUAAAUCUCUUCAUCUCUGCAGCUCCAUGUCACUCGUACAUUGUCAGCUGUUAAGGUCUCAUCACAGGGAAGCGACGCAAUGUUUUCCAGCCACGGGAUCGACCUGCCGAUUAACGACCUGGCAAAUAUAGAGCACAACGGACUGGAUUGUAUGACAAAGCUACAGGGAGCCACCGCAGACAGACUGCAGAGCCGCAUGGUUGCAGACACAGCUGUUCUCGGGUGAGUGGAAGGUAGCUGAGCUACUAAAGACUCACUGACUACUUGACAAGUUUGCUUUAAUGUACGAACAAUUGUGCCUGUGGUCGCACCAGAAACACUGAGAAAACACUAGUGUAAGACUUUUUCACUGUCCCUCACAUUAUUCAAACAUAAACUCCUAUUCUGUAUUCCGUUAAAUGCACUUUGAGAAGUUCAUGGGUGAUACAUGACAUGUUUAUCUUCUGUUUAUAUCGUGCACUCUUCAUUUUAUGCACUUUCAGUUACAACUGGGUCAAAGAUGAUUAACGCAUAACAUGUCUUUUUUUAAAUUUGAAAUAGUUACAGCUCAUACUGUGUUAUUUUGUACGUGUGCGGACACUGAUGACUAAAAUUAUUUUAAUAAUCGUGCCUCUCCUGUUUAGGUACACUUAUUUUAUUAUUUUUUGAAUGCAUUUGCUAUAUGUAAUACACAAUGCCACAGUCAGACACACCUGGAUUACCUGGAUUCUAAAAUCAUGUGACUGGCUCCCAAUUCAUUUUAGAAUACAUUUGAUAUUUAAAUGAUUACUUUUAAGGCUCAUAGGGGAUUAUAGCUCCACAAAUUUAGCUGACUGGUCAUUAUUUUAUAACCAUAAAAGCAAAGGUGAGCAGGUCUUCUCACUUUCUGACCUCCACAGCUGUGAUUGUUUCAUUGUUUUUUUUUAUCAUUUUAUUCUAAUUGUGUUGUUUUGUCCCUGCUGUUUGCCACUUUAAAAAAAAAAAAAAAAAAGUAGUUACAUAAAGUGCAUCAUAAAUGAUUCAUAUUAUUAUUAAUAUUAAGUCAUCUCUUUAGUGCAUAGACAAAUGAUGUGAUUUACUCUAAGGAAAUUCUUUCUAUUUCUCUGUUAUAAAAAUCAUUCACAUUUACACAAUAUUCACCAGGGAAUCUAGCCCAUGUCACCCAUAAGAAAUUAAAAAACCCUAAUUUAUGAACACCUAAUAAACAACAUGUAAAUCUAAUCUGCUAUUUUACACUAGUUAUAUCCACAGAUACCACACGCAUAUUUAAAUCCGAGAAACUAUAGAGUUGAGACUACUUGCAGACAGAGGUUCAGACAUGGAACCUGUCAGUUUCUGUCUUCUUCUUCCACCUUGUGGUUCGUUUUCUCUAUUACAGUCCAGGCCAAAUUGUUGCUGUGCUGCCAUGUGUAACCACCAGAGGUCAGCACCGACUAUAACAGGUGAUAUUUGUUACACAAUACAAUGAGCAGCAGUAGAUACAGGAUCGUUACAGAUUUCACAAAAUCCCAGAUACCAGUCACCAACAACAACAACAACAACAACAACAACAACAUAACCCACGCAGCACUUCUGAUUCUGAACAUAACACAGUGACAUGCACAUGUAAACCUGUUCCAAAUACAUGCUGUUGUGAACCUCAGUGCUGUGUCACCAUGAGUUUGGAUUCUCUGUGUUCACAGGGGAGAGGUCUUAGUGUAAGUGAAGGUUAUAUAAAGACUGGGUGUGUUCAGCCAUGUUCUCUUUGUUUGGAGUCCAUGCUGGCACCAGGAACUGCGCGCGCCUGUGUGUGUGUGUGUGUGUGUGUGUGUGUGAUUACAUUUGAUAACUAGAUUAGAUUAGACUUUACUGAUCAAAAACCGGAAACAUUUACUCAGUUACAGCAGCAGAUGGGUCAGACAAAUGCAAAAAGUUGUCGAAAAGUAAGUCACCCUUUUAAAGCACAUUAGUCUAUUCUGAUUUAGGUUUACAGUCUUUUUCACACAGCAUUCAUAGUGACGAUACUCAUAGUAAUAGUCAGAAUGCAUUCCCUAGCUUACCAUAACCUAAAGCCAAUUCUAACCCCCCAAAGAAGACUGUUAAAUAUUACAUAUUAAAUAUUAUAUUAAACACUACAGAGAGUCAAAGGACCUCAGCAGAGAAGGUGGUCUAUGUUUCUGGUCCUCACAAAGUUACUAAUUCAGAAGAGAAAUGUUCUUUUCUAUCUCUUGAUACAAUGAUGCAGCUCUUUCUGCUGUUAUCUAUUACUCCACCUGUGUGUGUGUGUGUGUGUGUGUGUGUGUGCACCAUCUAAAACUGAUGCAGCUUCUGAUUUCCAUCAUUGUUUAACCAGAUCUUUAGUUUUUUACAAAGUUUAAAACCUUUUCAGCUGCUUCUCUGUACAUAUCAAAUAAAAGGUUCACACUCUUCCGUUGGUAUAGUUACUUACUGUAUCACCAAAUAAACCUGCAGAGACAAAAUGGUGUCUGUUUAUGUUUACAGUUCAGGCUCAUGUCACGUUAAGUUCUUCAGUCUUUACUUGAACACACACGCACACACGCACACACACACACGCAGCAGUCAUAGUGAGGGCACUCACCAAUUCUAACCCUAAAACCAAGUCUUAACCCCAAAAAAGCCAUUUAAAGAUGUGAGGAACAGCCAAAAUGUCCUCACUCCCUGUGGUUUACACAAUUCUUGGUCCCCACAAAGUAACAAAUACAAGAAACACACACAUAUUUUCACAAACGCAGUUCCUUGUUCAGGAAAUUAAAGUCUGGAUUGAAGGAUCUUAGCUGGUGCGUCCACAUCCAUCAUCUGAGAGGAAGCAUCUGUAAAAGUUGGUGUAUAGGAAUAAUUCUAAUUCUCAUCGCCCCUUGGGAAACAUCUGUGCUCCAGAAUGACAUGUCGUCUUAAUGACAAAUACAUGAAUGUACAGGAUAUCUAUAAUAAACGAUCACGGCCAGUGUUAAUCGUUCAAACCUCAGCACUGUGAGGGACGUGUGAUUAAAAAGGGACGGACUUAAUUAUUAAGAGACAAUGGAAAGUGACAGGGGAGACAUUUAUUAACAGCGUGAAAUAUCGAUAUGGUUUUGGAUCGAUUAAGGCACCAAGAACAAACACAGCUUUAUAUGCUGAGUGAAGUCCAUUAUUUCUAUUUUAAUGACAAAUACUGGGCCAUGUUCAGAUUUUAUGUAAUUCAAAAUAUAAGCAAUAAAUAGCUGCAGAGGAAUAUAAAAUACUAUGUCAAUGAUCAGACUUUUACUAUUAAUGUUUACUUUACACCACUGCUCAAUUAAACCCCAUUAAAUAUAAAGCAAUAGCUUAUACAUGAUUGUGUGUCUGGACACUGAGUGAAAUCUCUCUUCUCCAUCUCUAUUUUAUCGUAUUUUUCUUUGCUCUGCAUUUUCCCAAUUUGAAUUCUUAGACAAUAACGAAAUCAACAUACAAACAAAUCAACAUUAAACCAUAAUGGCAAAAAAAGACGACUCCUGAGCAUCUGUUUGAACUGUGUCUCCUUGUUCAAACAGCAGGAUUAUGUCUGCAUGCACAGAAUAUCACAUCUGCCUUUUUAACGUGUCCUCUGCUCCAAGGUCACACCUAUAGUUUCCAUGGUGAUGGAUCUCUUAGGCCGCAUGUGUCAGAGUAACUGGGGGAUGUUUGUUCUCUCUUGGGCUCCAUAUCAAUAUAGACUGACUUCUAAUAUUUAUGUUUAUGUGUGGAGCAAAGCAUCAGCUUAUGCUAAGAU